rnacentral:rRNA from 1 species
UACGUAGGGAGCAAGCGUUGUCCGGAAUCAUUGGGCGUAAAGCGCACGCAGGCGGUUGUGGGCGUCGGUGCUGAAAGUCCACUGCUUAACAGUGGGAUGCGUGCCGAUACGCCAUAACUGGAGCGAUGCAGAGGCCAGUGGAAUUGCCGGUGUAGUGGUGAAAUGCGUAGAGAUCGGCAGGAACACCCAAGGGGAAGCAGCUGGCUGGGCAUUUGCUGGACGCUCAUGUGCGACAGCGUGGGGAGCGAACUGG